CCCACGGUUCUGAGUUUCCUAUUUCCCGCUCGUCAUCUGAUGAACCGAAACAGCAAAUAACAUUCAAUUAACGGGAAAAUAAAUAAAUAAAUAAAUAAAUAAAUAAAUAAAUAAAUAAAUAAGGAGGGGAGAGCGGGCGGCUCGGCGGAGCGGGGUGGGCUUUGUGCUGGGCCACGCGGGGCCGGGAUGCUCUGCCCAUGUGCGUGGGAUGCGCGGAGGCGCAGAGCUGCGCGGCCGCGGAAGGGGCCCUACCGCUACCCCUUCCCGGCCUCACCGUCGCCCCCCGCGCCGCCAUUCCCGUUCACGUUCAGGUUUAGCGGCAGGGUCACGUCCUUUGACGUCACUGUACGUCCUCUGCAUUUACAUACAUCGAAGAAAUAAGGGCAUUAAGAAAAAAAAAAAAGAAAAAGAAAUUUGCAAAUCCUCCCGCUGGCAGCAGCGGACGCAGACCCCGGCGCGAUUUCUGCGUGUUCCCGGGGAUCGCGUUUGGCGGAAGGAAGAAAUCCGGCGGCCACCUCAGCGGCAGCAGCGCAAGGAGGCCCCGAGAUGGGACCGUGGGGGCGUCGGAGGGCCGGGCUCCCUUCCUCCCUUCCUCCCGCCUCUCCUGUUGGCUGUGCCGCGCGCUAUUUUUAAUACAGAUACAUAUGUAAAGACGAUGAUGAUUACUACUAUUUCCGAAGUGCUGUCCGCGGCCGCAAUCCUCCCUGCCGAGCGCCCGGCGCUUUUCACGGAGGAUUUGGCCCCGCCGGCCUCCUGCCCUGCCCAAUCUCUCUGCACACUGUGCUCAGGGGCUGCCGGUGGAGGGAAGUAUGGCCAUGGCGAAAUGGGACUUUUCUUUCUCUCUUCCCUGCCUCCCUCCAGCAAGAUUGAAACGCCGUGA
rnacentral:lncRNA from 7 species